rnacentral:rRNA from 1 species
GAUGAACGCUGGCGGCGUGCCUAAUACAUGCAAGUCGAGCGAACAGACGAGGAGCUUGCUCCUCUGACGUUAGCGGCGGACGGGUGAGUAACAAGUGGAUAACCUACCUAUAAGACUGGGAUAAAUUCGGGAAACCGGAGCUAAUACCGGAUAAUAUAUUGAACCGCAUGGUUCAAUAGUGAAAGACGGUUUUGCUGUCACUUAUAGAUGGAUCCGCGCCGCAUUAGCUAGUUGGUAAGGUAACGGCUUACCAAGGCAACGAUGCGUAGCCGACCUGAGAGGGUGAUCGGCCACACUGGAACUGAGACACGGUCCAGACUCCUACGGGAGGCAGCAGUAGGGAAUCUUCCGCAAUGGGCGAAAGCCUGACGGAGCAACGCCGCGUGAGGGAUGAAGGUCUUCGGAUCGUAAAACUCUUUUAUUAGGGAAGAACAAAUUUUUAAGUAACUAUGCACGUCUUGACGGUACCUUAUCAGAAAGCCACGGCUAACUACGUG